AAAUCAGAUAUAUAUAUUUGCAGUACAUGUAAACGACCAAAAUAACCAUACAUGCAUAUUAGAUAUCUUAAAGGUGCUGGAUUAGCUGCCCUCCUAGCGAUUUGGGAAGCCAGCGCCCACUGCGACAUCGACACGUCAUAACAAACAAAAAAAAUAAUAAGCGUUAGAUUAACUGCGGGCCCUGCCGAUGCACUCAUCGAUUUUUGCAGAAAUCCCCUCAUUAUUUCGGUAUUUCCAGCCGAGUCCACUGAAUCAGAGCCGUUCAACCCCACGCGUGGACACAAUCUGACCGUUCGUCUCCUAUCUAGAUGGCUCCGUCCUUACCUACCCGUGGAAUCGGUCGUCGCUCAUCUCCCCACGUCGCAUCCCGUCGUCCCCAUCGAGCGAUCCUCCCUGAUUUCUCCGUCUAGAGGUGGCAUCGAUGCUCCUCGCCUCCUCCAAGAUCUUCCAUCGUAGGUCGUCGCCCACGACGGCUUGCCAUCUGCUAUCCCGUGCCCAGACGUUGGAUGCAUGAUCUCCUCCGUCGGCACAAUCCGUGUAGCCGCAUCCAUCGGCGUUCGUCUCCCCGUACGGUGGCGAUCGGAUUGGCCACUGACCAUUGCCUCAUCUCCGUACACGGGAGUGGGGUUUUCUUUUGUUCAAGCUCCCUCCUCGGCUGCUCCGUUCAUCUUCUCUGGAUUUCUCUGGUGAGUCUGCUGCAUUCUUUGCCUUCUUUUAUCCCCUUCCUUCACCCUUCUCUGGUCAACUACAUCAGUGGCUGCAAGCCUGCAAGAUGGAGCUGAGUUGGGAGGCUGAGCAAGCAGCAACAGGAGGAAUCAAGGAGCAAGGGGGGAAAUGUGAGGGAGGAGGAAACUGGGAUACCUAAGUAAUCUGCUAAUGCGUUUUUAGGCUACCUAUUCCAAUCCCUCAUCGUAUGGUGUACAUUCAGAUUCAGAUAUGAUUGGCUUGAUAUUUAGGAGAGGCCAAAUCAAGGAAUGCAAAUAACUAUGGAGUUGUACAGGGUUCCUUAAGCCCUCUAUUAAGUUCAACCAUAACUCGAGCUGUCAACUUGCAAGGGUUUUCAUCCUGUCUAUAUGGUCAAAUAUUGCCACUCUGUAACUAAAUGUUGUAAGCCUGUGAGAUAGUUGCCAGACACUUAUAAUCGGUAGGUCACCCAAGAUACAAGUACAAAGCAAGAGAUAUUCAUCAAAGGGUACACAACAAUUUUGUAGGACAGCCAUGGUAUCUGAUUAUUCUCAAUUGUUCUUGAUCUUCAGACAAGUGAAAAAUCGUUGGUCAGUUUAAAGGAACAAAUUUCCUCUUGCAAAAUACCUAUUCCUGUCUAGAGGGCCAAUGCACUAUCCUCAGCUCAGGAAAACAUAAUGGAUGAAGCUGUCAAUUGUUCCACUGAGAAACAAACACAAGAUAAGAUAAUAGUGAACAUUCAUACUGCAUUGAUCUCUGCUCCGGAGUUCUGAGCAAGAGAUGGGCCAAAUGACAUGCAUCUGUAGCUCAUCUCCUGAUGAAGGUGGUCAUCCCAGAGCUUCAGUAUUGUGCGAGCUAUUCUGAGAUACACUGCCACUGGAGUCGCUCAAAUAUUUGGGGCUCCCAUGUAAUAUUAUCCCACCUACCAUGGCAAGAAGCUGUCUCAAGUAUAGCAAUGCUCAUGCUUCGGCCACUCUUUGUUUUGUGCUGGGAAGAUAAGACCAAGGAUAUGUUCUUCUGUAUUGGCCUGGGGAUCAACCAACUGAUGUUCUAGCUAUUGCUAGCUCACCAUGUCUAAUAGGCAAACACUAAAUGAUUCGUAUCGCCGAUUCAUAAUAUUGAGCUUCUAAAAAUUAUCCCUACAAAGGAUUGUGCAUAUUCAGUCAAUGGUGCUUGCCAUUUCUGAAACCAGGCUACUUUCACUAAAUGGCACAAAAUGCCCCUUUGUGUUAUUUGCUAUAGCUGCAACUGUUGUGAUUGGAGAUGUUUUGCGAUAUAGUUACUACAUGCAUUGAUUCUUCCAUGCCAUAUAUCCCAGCAUGGCACAUCACUCUGUCAGGAUAUAAUGCACCUCCAACAGACUGUAUGUAAUCUAAGCAUGAGAACAUGCUUACUUACUGAGUGCCUGAAUCUAACAGGAGGUGUAUAUCCUUAAAUCAUAGCAGUACGUCUAUAAGAGCCCAAAUUUAAACAUAGAACCAAUCAAGCUCAUUACAGCUUGAAAUGAGUUACUUGUUCUGUUGUCCCACACAGGCUAAAUUGCCAGCUAAAUAUAACACUUUCAGUAAGCUCCAAUAACAUGCGUCUUAGGCUCUUUUAGACACGUCUAUUACACCUGCGCGGCGUAGCGCGCGAGACCUUCCUAGUAGAAUAAAGGCAGAUGGGGAUAGAUGGGAGGGUAUAAGGUAGGAUAUCUCUAUAAUUAACUAGUUGAUACCCCAACCUUUGCGGCGGGAUAUACGGAUAAAUGCAAGUUAUACAUUAUAGAAACAAUAGAUAUACAUGUUAAAAUAAUGUGAAAAUGAUGUGGAGAUAACAAUUUGACAUUACUAGCUUGCAUAUUGAGUUCUAAAAAUACAAUAAAAUUAUAAAUGAUAUGUCAUGUUUAUAUUUAAAAUAUUCGAAAUAAUAAUUGCUAGUGGUGAUAAUGUGGCACACUUGCGUGUGAUUUAAAAUAUUCUGGAUAAUAAUUGCUAUUAAGUAAUGAUGUGGCACACUUGCAUGUCGAGUUUUAGUAUUUAGUGCGCAUCAACUUUACGGUAAGAUAGGAUUGGAUUAGUUUUACAAAUAUAAUGUUUUUUAAUAAAUUUGAUUGAUAGAAAUAUAAUUAUUAUGACAAAGGUAGUAGUACUACUCUUGGCUUGCAUUAAUUACUACCAUGUCUCAUCCAAAAUAUAAAAACUUUUGAGGUGGCAUGCAUGAAGAUUAAAGAAUCAGCUGGUGUAACUAAACGAGAGAACGUUACGAUUGGUUAAGUAGGUAUAGAACUUAAAUGGAAAAUGUUGCGUGACUGGUUGAGAAGAUAAUAUAGGUUGAGAAAUUACUUAUUAUGAUAAAUGUUGAAUGGUAGGAAUAUUUGUUAUAUUUUAGGACAUAUAGAUUGUACAGUGAAAUGAACCAGCUUGAUCAGUUAACUUGCAUGUGCAGUAUCCAACACUCUGCAAUUCUACAUUGACUGGGAGAAAUAUAUCCCCCGUCGUGCCUAGGAAUUUCCUUCUUGGCUCUAGGGAUAUUAAGACACGAUUACAUGUCGUUCCUUAGAACUAACGGUAAAAUUGGACAACUUACGUUCAGGUCUGUUUUUCUGCAACAAAAAUUCAAUGUCAAAGUAAUUUGCAGCUUCCAUGACUACUCCACUGCACUUUCCUAUCACAAUGAUCGUAAUUACAGACAGUAAUCCUAAGGCUACUUAUUAUCUAUAUAAGUGGCACAAACGCAAGCCAAAAUAAUUUAUCACACACGACGUACAGAUCAACAAUUUCAUUUCGAAGUUUUUCCCAAGAAUAAGAUUCUUACAUAAGUAGGAGGAAUGGCCACCGCUACGGGAACUUCAAAGCCUGUGGCUACCCUGGGUGGAGGUGGCUCCUCCUCUGGAGCGUCGACCACGGGCACUAAUCAGGGAGGGGACGAUAGAGCUACAGGCACUUCUCACCCAGUCCCAGCAAUGAGCUUCACAGGAGGGCUAGCACAGAGCAUGUCUCAUUACAUUUACACAACAUCAAUUGGUCAGGCAGGUGGCUGCCACAAGGGAAAAGUGAAAGGAGAGCGCGAGUAGCCAGCAAACCAACAAGGAGUACUGACAAUUCGUUGUUAUCCAUGAAUGCGAUGGCAGAGGCUGCACAUACUCAAUCCUAUUGUAAAAAACUCGUGUAUAUAUACGAAUUUAAAUUUGUUCGUGUCUGAUAAGCUCGUGUGAAUAAAUAAUGGUGUAAUUUCUAGGAGCUACGCGUCGUACCAAGAUUUCCAGGAAGUCAGCAAAAUUAGGUGGAUCAAUGUAUAUACACUUAGGAAUGUAAAUUUGUUUGUUCAAUAAAAUUUGUUUGCUCAUA